rnacentral:rRNA from 1 species
AGAGUUUGAUCCUGGCUCAGGGUUAACGCUGGCGGCGCGCAUAACACAUGCAAGUCGAGCGAGGGCUCUUCUCCCGCAAGGGAGGGGAGUUCCUAGCGGCGAACGGGUGAGUAACACGUGGGCAACCUUUCCUAUCGCGGGGGAUAACAGCGGGAAACCGCUGCUAAUACCGCAUGUCGUCGUCGGUCGCAUGGCCGGUGAAAAAAGCAGCAAUGCACGAUGGGGUGGGCCCGCGGCCUAUCAGCUAGUCGGUGGGGUAACGGCCUACCGAGGCGAUGACGGGUAGCUGGUCUGAGAGGACGACCAGCCACACGGGGACUGAGACACGGCCCCGACUCCUACGGGAGGCAGCAGUAAGGAAUCUUCCGCAAUGGGCGAAAGCCUGACGGAGCGACGCCGCGUGUGGGAUGAAGUCUCUCGGGAUGUAAACCACUGUCGGAGGGGAAGAGAAUGGACGGUACCCUCCAAGAAAGCCCCGGCUAACUACGUGCCAGCAGCCGCGGUAAUACGUAGGGGGCAAGCGUUACUCGGAUUCACUGGGCGUAAAGCGCGUGUAGGCGGCUGGU